GACGAACGCUGGCGGCGUGCCUAACACAUGCAAGUCGAGCGAAUGAAGUUCCUUCGGGAAUGGAUUUAGCGGCGGACGGGUGAGUAACACGUGGGCAACCUGCCUCAUAGAGGGGAAUAGCCUCCCGAAAGGGAGAUUAAUACCGCAUAAGAUUGUAGUACCGCAUGAUACAGCAAUUAAAGGAGCAAUCCGCUAUGAGAUGGGCCCGCGGCGCAUUAGCUAGUUGGUGAGGUAAUGGCUCACCAAGGCGACGAUGCGUAGCCGACCUGAGAGGGUGAUCGGCCACAUUGGGACUGAGACACGGCCCAGACUCCUACGGGAGGCAGCAGUGGGGAAUAUUGCACAAUGGGGGAAACCCUGAUGCAGCAACGCCGCGUGAGUGAUGACGGCCUUCGGGUUGUAAAGCUCUGUCUUCAGGGACGAUAAUGACGGUACCUGAGGAGGAAGCCACGGCUAACUACGU
rnacentral:rRNA from 1 species